rnacentral:lncRNA from 1 species
UGUCUGUCCACAUGUGCAUGUGUGCAAGUGUGUAUGCGUGCAUAUGAAGCUCCCUGAGAGCUGUCACGUUUGGCAGUUUCAAAUCUGAGCCUUCCCGGGAUGCCCCAUCACAGGCCCCUGAGAUGGAUUCAUCUGAUACCAGGAGCCUCUAGGACCCAGAAAUUUAACUGUCAAUCAAGAGGCAUGUGAGGGAAAGUCCAGCCCAGCCUGGGUGCCAGAAGGUCUGGAUUCCUGGUCUGCACAUUCCCUACAACUCUGGGCAGAGAUCUCAUAUGUACUUCUGGCUCAGCUACUAACUUAGCUGUGUGGCUUUAGGUGACCCACUUAACUUCUCUGAAUCUGUUUCUCCAUUUGUAAAAUAAAAGGUUUGGACUAGGGAAUCCCCAAAUUUCCUUUCAGUAUAAAAGUUCCAUGAUUACCAGUGACCUGCUCAAGGUUCAUUAUUUCCCUCAUGUUUAAAGCACAGAAUCUUGUCCACUUCAUAGGGAGGUGGUGAAAGUCUAUGCACAUGUGCUCAGUAAAUCUUAGGCCAACACAAAUGUCAGCUAUCAUCAUUAUUAUAAGAAUUCUUUAUGCAGCUCUUUCUUCAGAACAUGUUUUAUAUCUUUUACCAUUU